GUACCCUGGUUUCUCUUCAGAUCAUGUAAAUCUUUCGCCUUUUACUAAAGGUUUCUGUGGAGAGAAACAACUCUGAGUCUUUAAAAAGAUCUCCAUCUUUACGUCUUUUGUAUUAACCUGGGU
rnacentral:snRNA from 1 species